GUUGUUGAUGGGUUUUAUUGAAUUUUUUCUCUUCUUUUAAAAAAUAUUCUUUGUUAUAAGGCAUUGCUCACUGGAAGAGGAAAGGGGAAGACCAUAGGAGGGAAGAUACCGUGAUACAAAAGAUAUUAAUACAAAUCUAUUUUUUAAUCGACUUGGGGAACAAGAAGGGAGGAAUGACACACAAAAUGAAACUACACAUAUUUGUAAGAUGCUUGCAUUCUACUGAGAAAGACAACAAAUAUUAUAGGU
rnacentral:lncRNA from 1 species